rnacentral:rRNA from 1 species
GACGAACGCUGGCGGCGUGCUUAACACAUGCAAGUCGAACGGAAAGGCCCUGCUUUUGUGGGGUGCUCGAUUGGCGAACGGGUGAGUAACACGUGAGUAACCUGCCCUUGACUUUGGGAUAACUUCAGGAAACUGGGGCUAAUACCGGAUAGGAGCUCCUGCUGCAUGGUGGGGGUUGGAAAGUUUCGGCGGUUGGGGAUGGACUCGCGGCUUAUCAGCUUGUUGGUGGGGUAGUGGCUUACCAAGGCUUUGACGGGUAGCCGGCCUGAGAGGGUGACCGGCCACAUUGGGACUGAGGUACGGCCCAGACUCCUACGGGAGGCAGCAGUGGGGAAUAUUGCACAAUGGGCGGAAGCGUGAUGCGGAAACGCCGCGUGCGGGAUGACGGCCUUCGGGUUGUAAACCGCUUUCGCCUGUGACGAAGCGUGAGUGACGGUAAUGGGUAAAGAAGCACCGGCUAACUACGUG